rnacentral:tRNA from 1 species
UGGGGAAUAGUGUAAUCGGCAACACGUCAGGUUCUGACCCUGAAGACUCUAGGUUCGAGCCCUAGUUCCCCAG